GGGGGUUCUAUGAAAUUUUAUCAUAUCCAUACCUUGAGGCAUCGGGGGUACAGGUUGAGGAAUUGGGGGAGGUGGGGGAGGUCGUACAUUUGGGUUCGUACAAACGAACUCAGAGUACCAUGCACUCAUCAUUUGGAGAAAGGCUUCCCGAUCCCUUUCCCCUCCUCCCUGACCAACAGUAGGAGGUGGGUUUUCAGUCGGCGCUGC
rnacentral:lncRNA from 1 species